AGAACGAACGCUGGCGGCAGGCUUAACACAUGCAAGUCGAACGCUCGUAGCAAUACGGGAGUGGCAGACGGGUGAGUAACGCGUGGGAACAUACCCUCCGGUUCGGAAUAGCUCAGGGAAACUUGGAUUAAUACCGGAUACGGCCGAGAGGCGAAAGAUUUAUCGCCGGAGGAUUGGCCCGCGUUCGAUUAGCUAGUUGGUGAGGUAACGGCUCACCAAGGCGAUGAUCGAUAGCUGGUCUGAGAGGAUGAUCAGCCACAUUGGGACUGAGACACGGCCCAAACUCCUACGGGAGGCAGCAGUGGGGAAUAUUGGACAAUGGGCGCAAGCCUGAUCCAGCCAUGCCGCGUGAGUGAUGACGGCCUUAGGGUGUAAAGCUCUUUCGCUCGGGACGAUAAUGACGGUACCGAGAUAAGAAGCCCCGGCUAACUUCGUGCCAGCAGCCGC
rnacentral:rRNA from 1 species